ensembl:lncRNA
CAAGGUCUCUAGCAGCACAUGCAUGCCAUGCAGGCUCACACUUGGAAGUAACACACACACAACACACACAGUGUAUCCUCAGAGUGUAGAGCAGUGUAGCAGAGGAGAGUAGAGGAGUGUAGAGUGUAGAGGAGAGUAGAGGAGUGUAGAGGAGAGUAGAGCACUGUAGAGGAGUGUAGAGGAGUGUAGCGGAGAGGAGUGUAGAGGAGAGUAGAGCAGUGUAGAGGAGAGGAGUGUAGAGGAGAGUAGAGGAGUGUAGAGGAGAGGAGUGUAGAGAAGAGUAGAGGAGAGUAGAGGAGUGUAGAGUAGACGAGUGUAGAGGAGUGUAGAGGAGAGGAGUGUAGCUAUACUAGACUGGUUUUCCCUCCUCCUCUCUUAUGUAGCUUUACUAGACUUGUUCUCACUCCUCCUCUCUAAUGUAUCUAUACUAUACUGGUUCUCCCUUCUCCUCCUCACUAAUGUAUAUUUACUAGACUGGUUGUCCCUCCUCCUCCUCUCUUA